rnacentral:rRNA from 1 species
CAGCCGCCGCGGGAAUACGUAGGUCCCGAGCGUUGUCCGGAUUUAUUGGGCGUAAAGGGAGCGCAGGCGGUUUAGUAAGUCUGAAGUUAAAGGCAUUGGCUCAACCAAUGUAUGCUUUGGAAACUGUUAGACUUGAGUGCAGAAGGGGAGAGUGGAAUUCCAUGUGUAGCGGUGAAAUGCGUAGAUAUAUGGAGGAACACCGGUGGCGAAGGCGACUCUCUGGUCUGUAACUGACGCUGAGGAGCGAAAGCGUGGGGAGCGAACAGGAUUAGAUACCCCGGUAGUCCCUGUCUCUUAUACA